rnacentral:misc_RNA from 1 species
AAGUCGUAACAAGGUUUCCGUAGGUGAACCUGCGGAAGGAUCAUUAAUUAUAUGUAAUUAUUAUUGAUUAUAUUUUAAUUAGUCACAUAAUUUUUAAUUAUUAGUAUAAUAAAGUUGAAUUUUUAUUUAGCUUUAUUUAUAAUAAUAAUUAAAAAUUUAAUGACAAUUUUGAUUCUUUUUAGUUCUCUAUUAUUAAUUUGAUUUUAAUAAUCAAUUUUUAAUUAUAAGAACUAGUAAAUUCAGGGAUAAAAUCCUGAAUAUAAACUAUUAUUUCAAAUUAAUUUUAACACUAAAUUAUAUUCUUAAUUAUUAAUUAAUUUUAAUUAUUUAAUAACUAAUAACAAUGGAUCUCUUGGCACU